UACGGGGGGAGCAAGCGUUGUUCGGAUUUACUGGGCGUAAAGGGCGCGUAGGCGGCCAGCACAAGUCAGUUGUGAAAUCUCCGGGCUUAACUCGGAAAGGUCAACUGAUACUGUGCGGCUAGAGUGCGGAAGGGGCAACUGGAAUUCUCGGUGUAGCGGUGAAAUGCGUAGAUAUCGUAAGGAAGACCAGUGGCGGAAGGCGGGUCGUCUGGACAGUUCCUGACACUGAGGCACGAAGGCCAGGGGAGCAAACGGG
rnacentral:rRNA from 1 species